CCUACGGGUGGCAGCAGUGAGGAAUAUUGGUCAAUGGACGCAAGCCUGAACCAGCCAUGCCGCGUGCAGGAUGACGGCUCUACGAGUCGUAAACCGCUUUUGUACGAGGGCAAACCCCGAUACGUGUACCGGGCUGAAAGUAUCGUACGAAUAAGGAUCGGCUAACUCCGUGCCAGCAGCCGCGGUAAUACGGAGGAUCCGAGCGUUAUCCGGAUUUAUUGGGUUUAAAGGGUGCGUAGGCGGGAUGCCAAGUCAGCGGUAAAAUCGCGGGGCUCAACCUCCCUCCGCCGUUGAAACUGGCGGUCUUGAGUGGGCGAGAAGUAUGCGGAAUGCGUGGUGUAGCGGUGAAAUGCAUAGAUAUCACGCAGAACUCCGAUUGCGAAGGCAGCAUACCGGCGCCCAACUGACGCUGAGGCACGAAAGCGUGGGUAUCGAACAGGAUUAGAUACCCGAGUAGUC
rnacentral:rRNA from 1 species